rnacentral:miRNA from 1 species
GCGGAUUCUGCUAGAGAGAUC